CAUUUUUCCAACUUUAGCCAAGCUUUCAUGGAGAGAAAUCCCAUCAUACACACAAUCAAUCCAUCUCUGUUUCUUAGCCAUGUAAACAUCCAUUGAAAUCACUUCACCAUGUUUCCCCCAAAUCAAAAUCCCCAAUGAACAACAACCUCACAACAAUCACCAAUGGAAGCUCAAUUCUGCUUCGACUGUCUUCACUGUCAAAUCCGAACCGAUUUCUCCCACAAACUCUCUUUCAAUUACGCCCUCGCCGCCUCCGCCCUCCCCUUCGCCUCCGACGCCGUCGUUCAGGUUUUGAAUUCUAAUGGAGAGAUUUCACCUCAGUUUAUAUUAAUGUAUUUGCCUAUUGAUGAAGCUAGUUGUUUCACCAAGUACAUCAACGAGCAUUUUCCAGAAGAUGUUGAACCUAAUCCAUCAGAAAUUAAUCCAAACGAGCAUCAAAUCUUGGUUAGUGAUGCUGGAAGGACAUCAUUACCUGGAUUGGGGUGCAACAGAUCAACCUGUUACUUUUCUAAACGGUUUUCUUGCUUGAGGACACUAACAUCAUUGGCCCCACUUUCUCAAAUCGGGCCUGUAUCAUUUCCCGCUUUUAACGAGCUGGCUUCAAGUUUCUUAUCGGGAGUUACAGAAGAUCACGUGUUGCACUCGCUUAAUCUUCUGAUACAAAGAAAAGCAACCGGACGAGAUACCAUAAACUUUCUUAACUUAAUCGGGGUACCGUCAUUUACCGAAACUAGCUUUCCUGGUUGCAUAAGACAUCCAAACAUAGUACCGAUCUUGGGCAUGAUGAAAUCACCCACCCAUAUUAAUGUAAUAUUACCAAAAACUCCUUAUACAUUGGAAAACAUUCUUCAUUACAGCCCCGAUGCCUUAAAGUCAAAUUGGCAUAUUAAGUUUUUAAUGUAUCAAAUACUCUCUCCCUUGCGAUACAUGCAUGGGUUAGGAAUCGCUCAUGGUAAUUUAUCUCCGUCGAAUGUAUUUCUCACUGAUUCGUUCUGGUGUUGGCUGAAUAUCGGUGAUACGCUAACGCUACAAUCAAACUCCAAGUCGGAUACAAAAAUUGCUUGUUGUACCGAGGGUUGUCACUCAAAUGAAAUAUAUGCUGAUUUGAAGCUAUCUUGUUCUUCAGAUUGGCAUAGUGUGUUUAUCCGCUGGUGGAGUGGAGAGUUGACUAACUUUGACUAUCUAUUAUUCUUAAACAAAAUCGCUGGUAGGAGAUGGGGAGAUCACACUUUUCACACUGUUAUGCCAUGGGUUAUCGAUUUUAGCGUAAAACCAGAUGAAAAUAAUGAAACCGGGUGGCGAAAUUUGAGUAAAAGUAAAUGGCGGUUGGCAAAAGGCGAUGAACAGUUGGAUUUUACGUACUUAACAUCGGAAAUCCCGCAUCAUAUUUCAGAUGAAUGUCUGUCGGAACUAGCUGUUUGCAGUUACAAAGCAAGACGAUUACCGUUAAGUGUUCUUCGUUCCGCUGUCCGGUCGGUUUACGAACCAAACGAGUAUCCUUCCACAAUGCAUAGACUUUACCAGUGGACCCCAGAUGAAUGCAUCCCCGAAUUUUAUUACGAUCCAACAAUAUUCCAGUCGCAGCAUUCCGGGAUGUCGGAUUUAGCAGUACCUUCAUGGGCAAGUAACCCUGAAGAGUUUAUUAAAUUGCAUAGAGACGCUUUGGAAAGUUAUCGCGUAUCAUGUCAGAUUCAUCAUUGGAUAGAUAUCAUAUUCGGUUACAAAAUGUCCGGGGAAGCAGCCGUUGCUGCAAAAAACGUCAUGUUGCCCCCUUCAGAACCGACAAACGCCAGAUCAGCAGGGCGGCGCCAGCUCUUUAGUCUACCCCAUCCUGCUCGUUGGGGCGUUAUAAAGAAGUCUAGUCAGCAUAACCCUGAUUCAGUUACCGGUGAGACACAUGUGCUUCAUGAAACGUCUAAUUUAAAAGCACUUGAAAAGGCAGCUACGUUCAUUGAACAUGCUUCCCACUUGAGUCCUUCAUAUAGCACCAGUUUAGACGAAUCAUUACGUCAGGAAGACAUUACAUCCGAAACCUUUGAAUAUGGCAAAGACGCAAACUUGCCGUUAGUAGUUGAUAUAAAUUUUCUUCUUCAGAAUAUCGAAGCAGACGAUUGUAGUACUUCAGGGUAUCAAGAUUUUCUUCUAUGGAGACAGAAACUGUCUUCGUCGACAAAUCUUUCCGCACAAAUCGCAAACGAUGUGUUUUCAAUCGGUUGCAUACUAGCGGAACUUCAUUUGCGGAGACCGCUUUUCAAUCCUGCGUCGUUAGCACAGUACUUACAUAGUGGCGUUCUGCCGAAAUUGAUGCAUGAACUGCCACCUCAAGUUAAUAUUCUUGUCGAAGUAUGCAUUCAGAAGGAUUGGAAGAGGAGACCUUCUAUCAAGUCUCUCUUGGAAUCUCCCUACUUUCCUGCAACAGUGAGGUCAUCAUACCUGUUUCUAGCGCCGCUUCAGCUUUUAUCGAAAGACGAAUCUCGGAUCCAUUAUGUUUCAAGUUAUGCGAAAUCUGGAGCUUUGAAAUUAAUGGGAAAUUUUGCAGCUGAAAUGUGUGCACCCCACUGUUUGCCGCUUUUACUCACACCUCUAUCCGACACUGAAGCAGAAUGCGCAUAUAUAAUACUCAAAGAGUUCUUGAAGUGUCUGAAUCUGCAAGCUGUGAAGACGCUUAUCUUGCCUGUGAUCCAGAAAAUUCUGCAGACAACUGGUUAUUCACAUAUGAAGGUUUCUCUUCUUCAAGACUCGUUUGUACGCGAGUUGUGGAGCAAAGUCGGUAAACAAGUAUAUUUAGAGAAUAUGCAUUCUAUGGUUCUAUCAAAUCUGUAUGUUUCUCCUCAUAAGAGUUCAUCGGGAGCUGCGUCUGUGCUUUUAAUUGGCUCAACGGAUGAGCUCGGUGUACCGCUUACAGUUCAUCAGACAAUAUUACCUCUGAUUCAAUGUUUCGGGAAGGGGCUUUGCAGUGAUGGAGUUGACGUCAUUGUUAGAAUUGGUGGUCUUUUGGGAGAGACUUUUAUAGUGAAACAGAUUCUUCCAUUACUGAAAAACGUUGUACGGUCUUGCAUCGAUGCCUCCAAUGUGAGUAGGCCUGAACCUAUGCAGAGUUGGAGUGCGUUGGCUCUUAUGGAUUGUCUAAUGACGUUAGACGGGAUAGUGGAAUUAUUGUCGAAUGAGGUGAUCGUCAAAGAGCUAAUAGAGGAUGGAGGUUGCCUUUAUAUUCAGCUUCUCAUGGCAUCCAAAUUGGGAAUGCCAUCACUACAGGUUGGUGCUACAAGUCUUGUUGCAGUUUCGCAGCAGAUUGGACCAGAAUUAACGACAUCAUACGUCAUGCCUAAACUCAAAGAACUCUUUGAAAAACUCGCCUUCUCUGAAGAAACUCGUGCUGGUCCAAGCCAGAAAGUUUCUAAAAAUAAAGUCGAGAACGAACAAAUGGAAAACCGGAUGGAUCUUGUGUUGCUAUUAUAUCCACCUUUUGCAUCUCUUCUUGGAAUCGAGACACUUCGUCAGUGUUGUACCACAUGGUUGAUUCUCGAACAGUAUCUUUUAUGGAAUCAUAAUUGGAAGUGGGAGAAAACAGAAGAAUCUUCUCGUGGGGGUGCGGACAAUAUAAACGCAAGAAAAACAAGUUACAACAAGAAUCCAACGUCUGAAUAUAAUUCUGCUAAAGUUUUCCUUCACGGGUUUGGAUGGUCCGUACCACAAUCACAAGUAGAUAAAGGCAUAAAAAAUUCAACACCGCAUAAGCGACACCAUCACGUGACAUCAUCCUCAAUGUCUAGAGAGCAGGAACCUUGGCAUUGGUUCCCUAGUCCUGCAACUAGCUGGGAUGGGCCUGAUUUUAUGGGCCGGGUCGGGGCUUCAAGUAACGAAAUUCCAUGGAAAAUCAGUGCGUCUGUAAUUCACUCGGUCCGGGCCCAUUACGGAGCUCUUAGAUCUUUUGCGGUUUGCCAAGAUGAAUGCACUUUUUUUACAGCUGGAGUUGGUCCGGGAUUUAAGGGAUCCGUCCAGAAAUGGGAUUUAUCGAGAAUCGUUUCUUCAUCUGCAUAUGAUGGCCAUGAAGAGGUUGUGAAUGACAUAUGUGUCAUAGGCUCCUAUGAACGAACAGCUUCUUGUGAUGGUACCAUUCAUUUAUGGAAUAGUCAAUCGGGAAAAAAGAUAUCUGUAAUUGCUGAAAAUUCUGCACAAUAUGGUAACUCCAUGACGUCAGCAUCCAAGAUACAUUCUGAUCAAGCCAAUAUGCUCGAUUUUAGCUCACUCGGUAGUGGGAUUUUGAGUAGCGCGUAUGAUGGAAGUAUGUAUACUUGUAUGCAUCACCUGGAAACAGUAAAUAGGCUCGUAGCAGGUACCGGAAAUGGUUCCCUCAGGUCAAAAACUUCAGAUUCAUUGACAUCGAAGAAGGUCAAAAACUUCAUUUGUGGAGAAGCGACUCUUCGGAAUCGAGUUUUCCUUCUUUAAUCUCAUCCAUAUGCUCAUGUGGUUCGACCAAGAUGCAAGCUAAUGGAGCUGCCACCUCACCAUCGUGGAUUGCGGCUGGACUAAGUUCGGGUCACUGUAGGUUGCUUGACAUGAGGAGCGGCGAUUUAAUUACCUCGUGGCAAGCUCAUGAUGGAUAUGUGACAAAGUUAGCUGCUCCGGAGGACCACUUGCUUGUUUCUAGCGCGCUUGACAAGACUUUGCGAGUUUGGGACCUCAGAAAGAAUUUGGCAUCACCGUUGAUCCUAUUCAGAGGUCACAGUGAUGGUGUAUCUGGUUUUUCUGUGUGGGGACAGGAUGUUAUUUCGAUAUCUAGAAGUAAGAUCGGACUUUCUUCCUUAUCUCAACAGGAUGGGCAACAUCGGAUCACACCGCAAUAUCUCUACAUGGCAGAUCGUGAAUCGAGGAAUAUGUCCGUGUUAUCUACUAUAACAAUUCUUCCGUUUUCGCGACUUUUUCUAGUCGGAACGGAAGAUGGUUAUUUAAAAGUGUGUUGUUAGAUUCUUGUUACCAUGAUUGAGUAACCAAGGGGAUAUUCAUAACAGCAAGUAAAAUUGUUUUUAAAGGCUAUGUAAUAGAUUUUAUACAAUUGGGUUGGUUUUUUUUGUGAUACCAUCCUUUUAGAAUGUUAAAAAUAGGCUUGUAAAUGAGUCGAGUCAUCUGAGAUUAGUCCAUUAAAAGCUUGAUUUUAGCUUCA